rnacentral:rRNA from 1 species
CUACGGGUGGCUGCAGUGGGGAAUAUUGGACAAUGGGGGCAACCCUGAUCCAGCAAUGCCGCGUGUGUGAAGAAGGCCUGCGGGUUGUAAAGCACUUUCAAUAGGGAGGAAAAGCCUUGGGUUAAUACCCCGAAGUCUUGACGUUACCUUUAGAAGAAGCACCGGCCAACUCUGUGCCAGCAGCCGCGGUAAUAAAGAGGGUGCGAGCGUUAAUCGGAAUUACUGGGCGUAAAGCGCGCGUAGGCGGUUUGAUAAGUCAGAUGUGAAAGCCCCGGGCUUAACCUGGGAACUGCAUUUGAUACUGUCAAACUAGAGUAUGGUAGAGGGUAGUAGAAUUCCUGGUGUAGCGCUGAAAUGCGUAGAUAUCAGGAGGAAUACCAGUGGCGAAGGCGGCUACCUGGACCAAUACUGACGCUGAGAUGCGAAAGCGUGGGGAGCAAACAGGAUUAGAUACCCUAGUAGUC